AUACGUAGGGGGCAAGCGUUAUCCGGAUUUACUGGGUGUAAAGGGAGCGUAGGUGGCUCGAUAAGUCAGAAGUGAAAGCCCAGAGCUCAACUCUGGGACUGCUUUUGAAACUAUCGGGCUAGAGUGCAGGAGAGGUAAGUGGAAUUCCUAGUGUAGCGGUGAAAUGCGUAGAUAUUAGGAGGAACACCAGUGGCGAAGGCGGCUUACUGGACUGUAACUGACACUGAGGCUCGAAAGCGUGGGGAGC
rnacentral:rRNA from 1 species